GGCUGCCCCCUUCUCUUCUCCUACUGGGACAGGCCAUUCUGGUAGCGAUCACAUGCCUGGGUGUUGUUUUGGUGUCUUGUUUUAUAAUGAGUGAGAUCAGAGUAGGUUUUAUUUUAUAUUGACAAAUAUUGAGCUGAAAAAUUGCUGAAACUUUAUUUCAACUGGCAGCCAUUUUUUUCCAAGUUCGACUGAGAUUCAGGUUCACUGAGUAAGAGGAAAACUGGUGGUUUAAGUCUGGUUCCAGUUCAGUUAAGCAUAUUGGUUCAAGCUGAUUCUCUGGCUCUGUUCUGGUGUGAAUCCAGGCUGAGGAAUCAGAGCCAUGUUUCGCUCCAGAUCGUCUUCCAGGGGACGGGGAAGGGAAAUGGCUGUGAUGGAGCCAGCUCAGAUGCCAGUGACCUUCGAGGAGGUGGCUGUGUAUUUCAC